UCCCUGGUGGUCCAGUGGUAGGACUCAGCGCUUUCACGGCUGUGGCCCCGGGUUCAAUCCCUGGCUGGGGAA